rnacentral:rRNA from 1 species
CCUACGGGUGGCAGCAGUGGGGAAUAUUGCACAAUGGGCGAAAGCCUGAUGCAGCAACGCCGCGUGAGCGAUGAAGGCCUUCGGGUCGUAAAGCUCUGUCCUCAAGGAAGAUAAUGACGGUACUUGUGGAGGAAGCCCCGGCUAACUACGGUCCAGCAGCCGCGGUAAUACGUCGGGGGCUAGCGUUAUCCGGAAUUACUGGGCGUAAAGGGUGCGUAGGGGGUUUAUUAAGUCCGAGGUAAAAGGCUGGGGCUCAACUGUAGUAAGCCUUUGAAACUGGGGAUCUUGAGUGCAGGAGAGGAGAGCGGAAUUCGUGGUGUAGCGGUGAAAUGCGUAGAUAUUAGGAGGAACACCAGUUGCGAAGGCGGCUUUCUGGACUGUAACUGACGCUGAGGCACGAAAGCGUGGGGAGCAAACAGGAUUAGAUACCCUAGUAGUC